rnacentral:rRNA from 1 species
ACGGGGGGAGCAAGCGUUGUUCGGAUUUACUGGGCGUAAAGGGCGCGUAGGCGGUCAGCACAAGUCAGUUGUGAAAUCUCCGGGCUUAACUCGGAAAGGUCAACUGAUACUGUGCGACUAGAGUGCAGAAGGGGCAACUGGAAUUCUUGGUGUAGCGGUGAAAUGCGUAGAUAUCUGGAGGAACACCGGUGGCGAAGGCGGCGUUCUGGACUGUAACUGACACUGAAAAACGAAAGCCAGGGGAACAAACGGGA